GCAAGUCGAGCGAGAAAGUUCCCUUCGGGGAGCGAGUGAAGCGGCGAACGGGUGAGUAACACGUGGGCAACCUGCCCAGAAGCGGGGGAUAACCUGGGGAAACUCGGACUAAUACCGCAUACGUCUUCGAGGCUCUGGUCUCGAAGGGAAAGCUGGCCUAUACAAGUAAGCUGGCACUUCUGGAGGGGCCCGCGUUCGAUUAGCUUGAUGGUGGGGUAACGGCCUACCAUGGCGACGAUCGAUAGCCGGCCUGAGAGGGCGAUCGGCCACACUGGGACUGAGACACGGCCCAGACUCCUACGGGAGGCAGCAGUGGGGAAUAUUGGACAAUGGGGGAAACCCUGAUCCAGCAACGCCGCGUGGAGGACGAAGGCCUUCGGGUCGUAAACUCCUGUCAGAUGGGACGAAAAGGCGUCGGUUAAUAGCCGGCGUUCAUGACGGUACCACCAGA
rnacentral:rRNA from 1 species